rnacentral:tmRNA from 1 species
GGGGAUGCACUGGCUUCGACGGGUAGCGAUCGGGGUCGAGUGGCAAGCCGGGGCGCUCUAGCCUCGUUAACAAUGGAGCAAACUUUAGGUGCCAACCGCACCAACUACGCGGCUCUCCCUCUCGCUGCAUAAGCGAGGGUGAUAGCCCGAUCACCUGCGGGUGAUCCGUCGGCCCCGGCCUCGCGCCGGUAGGUCGGGAGUCCGGCGAGACAAUGCCGGCGUGCGGUCCACCUGACGCCGAUGAGGUGGACCAAAGAGCCCUCGGCUGGCCGCAGCGGUCUGCGUGUCGAUGCGCAGCGCGGCGGCGACAACCCAAACAUCGACUAAGCUUGUAGUCGCUCGGCUUCAUCCUAUUCGGACGCGGGUUCGAUUCCCGCCAUCUCCACCA